CGGCAAUGGAGGAAACUCUGACCGAGCAACGCCGCGUGAACGAUGAAGUAUUUCGGUACGUAAAGUUCUUUUAUUAGGGAAGAAUAAAUGAUGGAAAAAUCAUUCUGGCGGUACCUAAUGAAUAAGCCCCGGCUAACUAUGUGCCAGCAGCCGCGGUAAUACAUAGGGGGCAAGCGUUAUCCGGAAUUAUUGGGCGUAAAGGGUGCGUAGGCGGUUAAAUAAGUUUAUGGUCUAAGUGCAAUGCUCAACAUUGUGAUGCUAUAAAAACUGUUUAGCUAGAGUAAGAUAGAGGCAAGUGGAAUUCCAUGUGUAGUGGUAAAAUGCGUAAAUAUAUGGAGGAACACCAGUAGCGAAGGCGGCUUGCUGGGUCUUUACUGACGCUGAGGCACGAAAGCGUGGGGAGCAAACAGGAUUAGAUACCCUGGUAGUCCACGCCGUAAACGAUGAGUACUAAACGUUGGGUAAAACCAGUGUUGAAGUUAACACAUUAAGUACUCCGCCUGAGUAGUACGUACGCAAGUAUGAAACUUAAAGGAAUUGACGGGACUCCGCACAAGCGGUGGAUCAUGUUGUUUAAUUCGAAGGUACCCGAAAAACCUCACCAGGUCUUGACAUGCUUCUGCAAAGCUGUAGAAACACAGUGGAGGUUAUCAGUUGCACAGGUGGUGCAUGGUUGUCGUCAGCUCGUGUCGUGAGAUGUUGGGUUAAGUCCCGCAACGAGCGCAACCCUUAUUGUUAGUUACCAGCACGUAAUGGUGGGGACUUUAGCAAGACUGCCAGUGAUAAAUUGGAGGAAGGUGGGGACGACGUCAAAUCAUCAUGCCCCAUAUGACCUGGGCUACAAACGUGAUACAAUGGCUGUUACAAAGGGUAGCUGAA
rnacentral:rRNA from 1 species